AGCGGCCAAGGCGGCUGUGAUGUCCUUCUUGCCAUCAAUAUCCUUCUGGCUCCGGUUUACUACCCCAAUGUAGCCUGUGGAUGGGGUCAAGCAGAGUGGCCAACACCAUUUUUCCGAGAUAAGACGAGAUCGGGCCCGUCCAGGAAUGCUAUGGCAGUAGAUCAACACGAUUUUUAAGUGGCCUGCUUUCCCCGCAUGAAGACCAGAGGCAUGUGAGCUGGAGUGAUAAAAGAACAGCGAGCUCCAAAUCCUGGGUGGAAACAGGCCUGGCCCCACACCGAGGGGCAGGUCGUGGGGGCCGUGUGAGGAUCAAUCCAGGGGGUUUCAGAUUUCUUAAACAGCUUUACUGAGGACAUUUCUAUCACCCCAAAAUGCAUCAAGGAGGUGUUGGCAGAUAUGAGACUUGGAGGAAAAAGCCAGGGCAGGAGGAAGACACGGCAGGGCCAAGAGCCUUCCAGUAAUUCCAAGUUGCCAAGAGGCUGACUUCUUCAAACGAUUCUUGUUUCUUAGCCAGAUUUCAGUCCAGGGAGAGGACAAAAGUCCCAGCGUCACCCAGGAAUAGUAGAGGAGGAGAAACUGAGGAGUGUUGGUGGUUUCCAUUAUUGAGUGGUACUCUGCUUUUGUUCCUUGGUCUGCUAAAAACGGCUGUGUUGGACUUGAAGAAUGAAUGAAUAGAAUGCCACCAGAAGGUGUGGAGAACGGACAAUGUUGUGGACAGAGGAACCAGCAAAGCAAAGGUAUGGAUCAGUGGCCACUUUGUGCCAGACCUCAUGUGAGACACAGGAGCAUGAAGAAGUUAAUAUGGCUUCUGCCAGAAUGCAGAUUCACAGGAGAGAGGCAGACAAGCUAAGCUCACCAGGUACACAGAGCAAUGGCACCUGGCCCAGCCUGGGGCAGGAUGGCUGGGGAGGAAUCAGCUGGACCAGGCUGGGGCACACACAGUGCCCUUCUCUACAUGGUUGGGGGCUGGGCACCAAGAUUUCCUAGGCUUUUGGGCACUGGCAGUUCAGUCAUCUGUGCCUGCACUGCCCCAUCUCAUGGUAAGGAGCUCCCCCCAGCCCAGAAGAGGACAGGUGCCCAUAUAUGCCGAUUGUGCCAUAGUUAAGUCUGAAACAAGACUGCCUGGUGUUCAAAUACCACCUCUGCCACUCUCUCACCUCUGCCACUUUCUCAUCGUUAUCAACUCUUGUUGAUGAUCUUAGGGGCAUAAGUCAUCUCUUACCCUGCAUCACUGAUUUCCUUGACUGCUCUGACUUGCCCUCAUUUGUUGCUGUGAUUUCUGAACUGCAUGUAUCUGAUUUGCCUUUUCCAUGCCUCUGCCAUGGCUGUAGGAUUUCUUUGUGAGCAAUAACUCCAAGCAGGUAAGUGAGCUACUACCUAAACCUUGCUUAAUAUAAUUCCUUGGCUCACUGGAAGCUUGAAAUUUCUUGGUUAUCCAAGUUUUUUUUGUUUUUGUUUUAGAUAGUAUAAUGCAAUGCCUAGGUAAUUCUAGGAUUGGAUUGGAUUUCAAUCCUAGAUUGGAUUUCAACUCUUAACUGAGUAUCUAGAGGUAUGCCUGAAAUUUCAGCGCAGCAAGAGACAGUUGACAUUUGAUCACGUGGUGCCUUAUUAUAAAUCUGACAUUGCCUUUGUUUCCUAAACUGUUAUAGUUUCAGAGCUCUUUGGUUUCCUUACAUUUUUUAAAUGCCAUAAUAUUCUUUUUAAUUGAUCAUGACUGCUAAUAAAAUCAAGCUUGCUGUUUAUCAAAUUAAUCUGUGUUUUCACCUUGGACUUUUUAUUACUAAUCAAUUCCUCUGAUGCCCAGCUUACUCAAACAGUAUUUUAUAUAUAAUUGUUAAAUGCCUAUUCCAGCAUAAAUUAUAACUGGCCAUCAAGGCUUACGGAUUUCUGUGUAACAACAGAAUAUGCAAGUAAUGUUUUAUUGUUAAUUCAGGUAACCAAACUAAUGCCUUGGACUGUCCUUGGGCAAGUCACUUCACCUCCCUGAGCCUCAGUUUUUUCAACUGUAAAAGGGGGUAAUGAUAAUGCCUAAUUCAUAGGAUUGUGUGAGGAUUCAGUGAAGUAACAAUCAUUU